ensembl:snoRNA SNORD24 Small nucleolar RNA SNORD24
UGCAAGUGAUGCAAAAGUAUGUUACCUGGAAGAUGGUGAUGACACUUUAAACCACCAAGAUCGCUGAUGCA